GAUGAACGCUGACAGAAUGCUUAACACAUGCAAGUCAACUGUGGCGGACGGGUGAGUAACGCGUAAAGAACUUGCCUCACAGAUAGGGACAACAUUUGGACACGAAUGCUAAUACCUGAUACUGUGAGAGAGCUUUGCAUCCCAUUAGCUAGUUGGAGAGGUAACGGCUCACCAAGGCGAUGAUGGUUAGCCGGCCUGAGAGGGUGAUCGGCCACAAGGUGACGGGGACACGGGCCGUAGUACUACUGGAGGAAGCAGUGGGGAAUAGUGGACAAUGGACCAAAGUCUGAUCCAGCAAUUCUGGGUGCACGAUGAAGUUUUCGGAAUGAAAAGUGCUUUCAGUUGGGAAGCGGUACCAACAGAAGAAGUGACGGCUAAAUACGUGCCAGCAGCCGCGGUAAUAC
rnacentral:rRNA from 1 species